AUCCAACUGACAUGUCCCGAAUAGGACGGAACGUGCGUCCUGGAU
rnacentral:hammerhead_ribozyme from 1 species